rnacentral:tRNA from 2 species
GCCCAGGUAGCUCAGUUGGUAGAGCACGCGACUGAAAAUCGCGGUGUCGGUGGUUCGAUUCCGCCCCUGGGCACCA